GGAUGCAUUGCUGGGCAAUUACACCUUUGGCAGUCUGUCUGGUGGUGACUAAAUUGCAUGUUGAAUUGAGAUCAAAUCAGAGAGAAGAACAUGCAUAUGCAUGAAAGUAUUAAAUUAGCUGAGGACUGCCAAAGGUGAUUUGCCCGGUAAUCCAGCU
rfam:Corchorus capsularis cultivar CVL-1 contig10919, whole genome shotgun sequence.